CGUCAUAUGACCGGCCGGCGGCCCCGGCGCCGAGCAGACUCCCGCCGCCGCGAUGGCCCCGCCGCCGCCCCCGGCCGCGCGCUGAGCCGGCCGCGCGCCGCGGGAGCCGCAGCCGCGGCGUCAUGGCCCCGACCCUGCUCCAGAGGCUCUUCAACAAGAAGGGCGGAGGCAGCUCCGCGGCAGCGGCGGCCCCUGGCCGUGCGCCUCGAGAGGGACCUGCCUUCAGUUGGUCGUGCUCGGAGUUGGACCUGAAUGAGAUUCGCCUGAUAGUUUACCAGGACUGUGAAAGGAGAGGCAGACAAGUCUUGUUUGAUUCUAAAGCUGUGCACGAGAUUGAGGAGGUGGCAACUCAGAAAACAGAGGACGUUGCUGGGAAAGCUUCGGCCAAGUGCUGCCACAGCGGCGGUGGCAGCCUCUCUUCCCACGGUGCUCCUGGGAGCUCCUUCCAGCACACCAAGGAGCAGCUCCCCAAGUACCAGUACACACGGCCAGCCUCCGACGUCAACAUGCUGGGUGAGAUGAUGUUCGGCUCUGUCGCCAUGAGCUACAAGGGCUCCACCCUGAAGAUACACUAUAUCCGCUCUCCUCCACAACUGAUGAUUAGUAAAGUCUUCUCAGCCAGAAUGGGCAGCUUCUGCGGGAGUACAAAUAACCUGCAGGACAGCUUUGAAUACAUCAACCAAGAUCCUAACUUGGGGAAACUGAACACAAAUCACAACAACCUGGGUCCCUGUCGGACUGGAAGUAACUUAGGUGUGCUGCAGGGAUGUGGCAGCAAGCUGUCACGGGGGGCGGCCGAAGGAGGACCACUCCCGCUCAGCCGCAGUGCCUCCUUCUUCGCAGCGCACAGCACUCCAGUGGACAUGCCCAGCAGGGGACAGAAUGAAGACAGGGACAGCGGCAUCGCCCGAUCAGCCUCCCUAAGCAGCCUUCUGAUCCCACCUUUCCCAUCUCCAAGUUCCUCCACGUCCUCGUCUAGCAGUUAUCAGCGCCGCUGGCUUCGGAGCCAGACAACAAGCUUGGAGAAUGGCAUCUUUCCCCGGAGGUCAACUGAUGAGACAUUCAGCUUGGCUGAGGAAACCUGCAGUUCCAACCCUGCCAUAGUUCGGAGGAAGAAGAUUGCCAUCAGCAUCAUCUUCUGCCUGUGCGAAAAGGAAGAAGCGCAGAGGAAUUUCCAGGACUUCUUUUUUUCUCAUUUCCCCCUAUUUGAAUCUCACUUGAACAGGCUGAAGAGUGCAAUUGAAAAGGCCAUGAUCUCCUGCAGGAAGAUAGCUGAGUCAGGUCUCCGUGUCCAGUUUUAUGUCAGCCGUCUGAUGGAAGCUCUGGGAGAAUUCAGAGGGACCGUCUGGAGCCUGUACUCCGUUCCGAGGAUAGCGGAGCCUGUGUGGCUCACCAUGAUGUCCAGCACCUUGGAGAAAACCCAGCUCUGCCAGCGCUUCCUCAAGGAAUUCACCCUCCUGAUAGAGCAGAUCAACAAGAACCAGUUUUUUGCUGCCUUGCUGACUGCAGUGCUGACCUAUCACCUGGCCUGGGUCCCGACCGUCAUGCCUGUUGAUCACCCUCCCAUCAAGGCCUUCUCAGAGAAACGCACCUCUCAGCUGGUGAACACACUGGCCAAGACGCACCCGUACAAUCCUCUGUGGGCACAGCUGGGCGACCUUUAUGGAGCCAUCGGCUCUCCUGUGCGGCUGACCCGCACAGUGGUGGUGGGGAAGCAGAAGGAUUUGGUCCAGCGCAUUCUUUACGUCCUGACCUACUUCCUCCGCUGCUCAGAACUGCAAGAGAACCAGCUGACGUGGAGCGGGAACCACGGUGAAGAUGAGCAGGUGCUAAAUGGAAGCAGUAUCACGACGGCCCUGGAGAGGGGGGAAGUGGAGGAGUCCGAGUAUGUGGUGGUCACGGUCAGGAGCGAGCCUGCCCUGCUGCCGCCCAUCCUGACCCCGACGGCGGCCGAGGGACUGGCUGGGGCCCAAGCUGGCACCGACAUCAAAGGCCCAUGUCCCAAAGUCGACGGAGAAGGAAGUCUGGGCCCCGGGCAGAGUCCCGCGGAUUCCGGUGCUUGGAGAUCUCAGGGCAUGUCGUGUGGGGAUGAGGAGAGUCAAAAGGAGGACCCCCGAGGUGGCUCUUCGAGGCUCCCCAGCUGCGCGGGUCUGGGGCCAGGACUGAAGAUGGGUGAGGAGGUGAGAGCAGAGCUGCCGAAGAUGCUGCCGGACCGAUCCGGGGCCCGGCCGUGCCCGGAUGCUCAUUCCCGGGAGAGGUCGCCCUGGGAGAAGGUCACCUUCCAUAUCGGAAGCUCCGCGUCUCCAGAGUCGGACUUUGAAAGUCGCACCAAAACCAUGGAGGAGCGGCUGCAGGCCUGGUGCGUGGAGCCCUCAGCCCGCCCUGGGUCGGCUGCCGACGAUUCAGCCCUAGAGGCCCAGGACCAGCAGGCUUCCAGGUGCUCCUGCGCGCCCCCCGGGGUUCUCCCGGCAGCCUUUGCUGGCAGCAGCGGAGGCUCUGUGGAGGUGCGCAGUGUCAGGACCGAGGUCGUGGCGGAUGCUGCGGGGCUGCCCAGCGCACCUGCCGGUUGGUGCGCAUCUGUGGGUUCUGCCCGCGCGCGGGGAAGAACCUGGGGUACGCGGGGGAAGAACACCGAGGGACCUGUUCCCGAUGGGGACGCCAGCAGUCAGGCCAGCUUCAGGGUGGAAGGAGACAUCCCCAGAAACGAAAGCUUGGACAGCGCCCUCGGGGCCAGUGACGACGAGGCGUGCGCUUCAGCCUCGCUGGAUCUGGGUCCCAGCAAUCGUGAAGGUGACCUUGACGGGCCUGAAAGGUCUCUGGAGGUGGAGCUGCCGCUGCCCAGGGAUGAUGGCGGGCUUAGGGCAGCUGAGGUCUGAGCCAGGAGGCCGGCAGUAUCUACUUUCUUGAGUCACUUGGGAGAAGCCAAGGGAUGUGAUGGCCACUGGGAGGAGGAAGUGUCAUCUUCUGUUUCUGUGAGGGGUUCCACCUCCACAGCAGACACCCAGCCUGGGAGGUGGUACCAGGUUACACUCUGAGUGGCUUCUCCCUGCGGUCAGAGCAGCAUGAAGUGGUCAGGAAACAGCCCCUCUUCCUAACAUCCAUCAGGUUAGUAAUUUGGUCUGACGGGGCUGAAAGCAGCAAUUAGAGAUGUCUUCUAUUCCUGAUGUCCUGGCGCCAGCCACCGUGCGCAGGUGUGUCACCUUUCUAUAGCCAUACUUCACCAAGACUCCUAGACUUUUACUUUCUUCACUGUCUUAACACAGAUUGCCUGGUGGCUCUUCUGUGUGAGGCCAGUGAACAGACUCCUAGCCAAUCAUCAGAAUAUUACUUUCUCCCUGUUCUUACUCUCGAAAAAAACUUUCUCUUCAGCUCCCUUUCUUUUCCCACCCCAACAACCUGCUCGCUGGAGGGUCCUUGAUGUGAACCACUUGGAAUCUGUUUUCUCACCUGUGUCACUGGGAAUUGUUUCUGGCUGCAGUGCAGGAAGGGAGCACAUUCCAGGUGGAUGCUGUAAUGGAUCAGUGUGGUUUUAGGUCUCGGAGCAUCAGCAACCCCAACGUGAGAAACUUUGGCCGCUCUCUUCUGGCGGGUUACUGCCCCACAUACAUGCCUGACCUGGUGCUUCAUGGGACCAGCAGCGAUGAGAAGCUGAAGCAGUGCCUGGCAGCUGACCUGGUCCACACGGUCCAUCACCCCGUGCUCGAUGAACCUAUCGCCGAGGCAGUCUGCAUCAUCGCAGACACGGAUAAGUGGAGUGUCCAGGUGGCCACAAGUCAGAGGAAGGCAGUAGACAGCACGAAACUUGGCCAGGACGUCCUGGUCUCGAGUCAGGUGUCCAAUCUACUCCAGUCCAUCCUGCAGCUGCACAAACUUCACCUCCCCGCCGAUUUUUGCAUCAUGCAUCUUGAAGACAGACUGCAGGAGAUGUACCUUAAGAGUAAGAUGCUGUCUGAAUAUCUCCGUGGACACACACGUGUCCAUGUGAAGGAAUUAAGUGUCGUGUUGGGGAUCGAGUCCAACGACCUGCCUCUGCUGACGGCCGUCGCCAGCACUCACUCUCCUUACGUGGCCCAAAUACUGUUAUAAGCUAACACUCAGGACAGCUCUUCCUCGGAGGAAGUAAAACCUGAUGCUCAGCUGAAGGAGGGAGAGGGCAGACCCCCUGGGACGAUGCAGUGUGAGCAGAGCAGAGCAGCGGAAGGAUCAUUCCAGUUCUGGGCCGUGUCUGUUGUGUCGCUGUCCAGGGGUGCCUGUUGGAAGACUGUGGUUUACUGUCCUGAGCACAUCAGGCCUCUGUCACCCUGGAGUCAGCAGGGGGCAGCCUUCCAGCUUCUUGCAGAGGAAGCAGAACCCUGCGUGGAUGCCCAGCUGGGGGUCCAGAUAGCCUAUGUUUGGACACAGCGGUGGUAAGCGGCCUCAGAGCAGGGCUGAACUACGCACAUACCAUUCCAAUAGGAAUUGUUUCACAGUUAAGCAUGAGCUCUCCAAACUGGAGAAAGCUAUCCCGCUAUCCUGAGGAACUGGCCAGGGCAGGGACCCUGGACACCAGGUACAGGGGUGGAGUGAAGACAGUGCAGGUACCAUCUUCAGCUCCGGUGGCUUUGGUGUCACCGUCUAAUGUAAAACAUAGGUGGCCUGGCUGGGAGGCCAGUCUUCUCUGAGUUUACCUUGUUUGACUGCAGGCCCCAGUAGGCUAAGGGUGGAUUGUUGGUGCAAUAAACCCAAGAAUCAAUGUAGCAUUUGGAUCCCAUCAAGGUGAGGUCUGUGGCAGCCACGGACACCAUCUGACCCCACGUGGCUGGUCCCGAUGCUUCAGGGCUUUCAGCAGCCUUUUCAUGAGAGGCCAUUUACCAAAGUUAUUUGUAUAAGCUCAAGAGAGUUUCUGUUGCUAAAUUCUUCCAGCUGAGGUUACCCCCUUCCUAUAAUAUUUAAUACAAAUGACUGUUUAGACUUUAAAAGGCACAGCUAUCCAGGUGGGGAAGAGAACCUGCCACCAUUCAGGACAAGUCAUGAAAGUAAUUAGUUUGAACGUUCAUAAACAAUUCAUAGAUGACCUAAAUUUUUACAUUAUCAUUUCUGUCCCUUCCAAUCCCAAUGUUCUUUUCAAAUCACCUUUCCAGAAAUUGACCCAUAGUAUAAAACCUGCCAAAAUGAAGAAUUGUUUGUUUUUUAGCAUCAUUUGCUUUCUUUAAAAAAACAAAAACAAGCAAGCAAGAACUUGAUUUUAUUUUGACAUAAAAGAAACUUGAGUUUAUUGACCAACCGUGAAGCAGACAAUAUAUUGACAUCCAGGGUAAAGGAAAAGACUUUUUGAUAAACGGAUCAUUAAAAGGCAGGAGCUGACCUCGUACAGAAAACAGCAUCCUGCAGGUCUUGAUAGUUCACUAUAUAACCAGGCGCUGAUUUCCUCCACUCCUUUAUGAAUUGAUUCUGGCCCUUUCCAUGUAGUCUUUGCACCUAAGAAUAUGAAACGACUUCCCUUUCAAGAUUUAGAAUGACUUCAGAUUUUCUAGUUGAGAAAAUCCUCAUCCCAAACAUCAGGUUACAUAAGGCUAUGUCUGUAAUUCUUUUACAAGUGCAAGUUAGUUAUUUGUUUGAAAGUGCAGAGCAGCAGAACCCAUGGAGAAGAAAAGGUGUGUUAUUCCUUUUUUUUUUUUUUUUUUUUUUUUAUGGCCCCACCUGCGGCAUAUAGAAGUUCCUAGGCCAGGUGGUCGAAUCCGAGCCAUGGCUGCAACCUACACCAUAGUUGUGGCAAAGCGAGAUCCUUAACCCACAGCACCACAGCAGGAACUCUGGCUGUGUUAUUUGUUAAGAAAGAUUCUUAGGAAUAGAACUGCUGCCUCCCCCUGUUAUUUACCAUGUGAAAUGGAGAUGGGUGCAUUGAGGCUCUUCUUUUAAGGUCUUUAAUUUGUACUUUUCUGUCUUUUAACAAAAUUAACAUUGUCCGUUUGUCUGUGUCUUUCUGUUUGCUCUUGCCCAACACCUAAGAUUGGUGUUUGGAGUCCCCGGUUCCGUGACACCAUUGCUGUUGUCCUGUUCACGGGGAGCAGACCUCACCUGCGGCUGCGCUCCUCCCUCAGUCAUGUUCCAUUACAUGUGACCCUGUUGUGACAAGUGACGUCACAGCAUCCCCUCUUGCACCAGUUUCAAGCAUUCCCCCAUCUCUGGUUCCUUGUCCUUGUUUACACAUUCUGGGCACUUUCCUUCAUCCGCCACCUUCCAGAGUUUGUAGAAAAUGAGAUAUAAAAUCAGUUCUUUUCUUGUGGGCACAUAGUGGCCUGUUGAAAAUUAGACCCAAACCGGGGGACGUCGAGCUUUAAGUGGCCGAUCCUGAACUCUGUACCUGAAAGACUGGGCCUCAAAGUGGGAGGAGACUGGCUCUGCCUCUUCACCUGCUGUCCCAGGCUCCCCUGGAAGGGGGCCACCUGGGGAGGCCGCCUCUGUGACCUCAGGACCCCGGGCAGCCCCAGUCCUCCUGGCUGCUGCCUGCACCACAGACCAGGAAUGUCACUGCUCUUCUAUAACCCUCCUCUGAAGAACACUCCUGUGUUCCUUCCGCUAAACUCAGCAUCUUCCCCAAAGCGGGAACGCAAAGGAUCUCACGGGUCGCUUCGGGAUGUACCCUCGCACACCGGACCCCACCCAGGCGGUGGCUUCGUUUGGUCUCAGCCCAAGAGGCAAAAAGGGACCCGCCCCUCAGCCCAGGCCCACCUCAAGGAAAAAAUAAACAUGAAAAAAAAAAAAAAAAGUGAAAACAGAGAAAACUACCUCAGUCGACAGGAUUCCAUCUUUAGGGUUUCUUCAGCUUUGAAGUCUUACCUGUUGAGUGUACCUUGUGUAGCACCUUGCUUUUCUGAGCAAGCUGGAAGGAGGCACGACCGGGCAGGUGUGUGUCUGAGUUACUCUGAUAGGCCUCCUUCCAGAACGUGCGUUGGAUUUUGCAUAGAUCGCCAAGUGAUAUGAAUGUAAAGAGAGUUGUGUAUGUUGAGGCGUAAUGAAAAUGUAAAAUGCAGCUUCCAUACUUGUGCAUAAUUCCAAAGUAUUUUAUUUUUUAUCAGUGUUAAAUAGCUUUUUGUACAGGCUUCAAUCCAUUUUCCUCAAGUGUGCUGUUUUUUAAUGAACGCAACUUUCAACUUUUCACAUCCCAUGGAACUGCUGUUUAUGCGUCGCAACUUUUUAAAACUUAACCAUAUUUUUCAAAAUUAACUUUGUUUUGGAGGGAGGAGAAUCCCCGCCUGCUGAAUGAUAUUAAACUGUUGUUUAGGCCCUUCUGAUUAGGUCCUGAGAUUUUAUAAAAUUCAGUCUGUAACUAAGUUGGUUGUACAUAAAGAUAAAGAAUAUACAGUAACCUCACAGUUCUUUUAAAUUUAUGGAUUUUUCCACUAAUAUGAACUUUUGAAGGUAUUUUGUUCAUGCAUACCAUUAAAUCCAAAAAGUCUUUAGCUUCUUGGUAAAUGUGAACCCUUUGUUUUCUAUUGUGCUUUGGGGAAGGGACCUUUUAAUAUAAUAUUUACUUAAAUCAAGCAGCCCCUUCUGAAUGUUCAUUUUUAAAUGUCAGCAUUUGGUGAACCGUAUAUCUUGGAAGCAAGAUUACAUAUGCUUAAAUUUAAGUGGUGUUUAAAAUAGGAGAAAAUUCUGGGACUGAUUCAUUAUUAUUAAAACUCCAUUAAUGCAAUUGGUAAGACAUUCUAUUUUUGAUCACUUAAAUAGAUUUCCAUGUCAGUGUGUGGACAUUUUUUCUUAAAACUCGUUCACAUAUUAUUUUGAUCCAUUUUUCUGUGGCAUUUGGUGCAAUAAACCUUUGAAUUUAUCUCCAA